rnacentral:rRNA from 1 species
UGUCCGAAAUUUUUUUUUUUUUUUUUUUUAUACUAAGAGCUUAAAGCGUAGAAAAUAAGCAUUUUUUUUUUUAAAAGACUUGUUGAUUGGUAUCUUUAAGAGGGGCUUGCGCCAUAUUAGUUAGUUGGUAGGGUAAUGGCCUACCAAGACGAUGAUGUGUAGCUGGACUGAGAGGUUGAACAGCCACAUUGGGACUGAGACACGGCCCAAACUCCUACGGGAGGCAGCAGUAGGGAAUUUUCGGCAAUGGAGGAAACUCUGACCGAGCAACGCCGCGUGAACGACGAAGUACUUUGGUAUGUAAAGUUCUUUUAUCAAGGAAGAAAAGCAAGUGGUGAACCAUUUGUUUGCCGGUACUUGAUGAAUAAGCCCCGGCUAAUUAUGUGCCAGCAGCCGCGGUAAGACAUAAGGGGCAAGUGUUAUCCGGAAUUAUUGGGCGUAAAGGGUGCGUAGGCGGUCUAGUAAGUCAGUGGUGUAAUGGCAACGCUCAACGUUGUCCGGCUAUUGAAACUGCUAAACUUGAGUUAGAUAGAGGCGAGUGGAAUUCCAUGUGUAGCGGUAAAAUGCGUAAAUAUAUGGAGGAACACCAGAGGCGUAGGCGGCUCGCUGGGUCUUAACUGACGCUGAGGCACGAAAGCGUGGGGAGCAAACAGGAUUAGAUACCCUGGUAGUCCACGCCGUAAACGAUGAGUACUAAGUGUCGGGUUAAACCGGUACUGAAGUUAACACAUUAAGUACUCCGCCUGAGUAGUACGUACGCAAGUAUGAAACUUAAAGGAAUUGACGGGACUCCGCACAAGCGGUGGAUCAUGUUGUUUAAUUCGAAGAUACCCGAAAAACCUUACCAGGUCUUGACAUGUUUUUGCGAAACGGUAGUAAUAUCGUGGAGGUUAUCAGAAACACAGGUGGUGCAUGGUUGUCGUCAGCUCGUGUCGUGAGAUGUUAGGUUAAGUCCUAAAACGAGCGAAACCCUUAUCGUUAGUUGCCAGCACGUUAUGGUGGGGACUUUAACGAGACUGCCAGUGAUAAAUUGGAGGAAGGUGAGGAUCACGUCAAAUCAGCAUGCCCCUUAUGACCUGGGCUACAAACGUGAUACAAUGGCUGUUACAAAGGGUAGCUGAAACGCAAGUUCUUGGCCAAUCCCCAAAAACAGUCUCAGUCCGGAUUGAAGUCUGCAACUCGACUUCAUGAAGUGGAAUCGCUAGUAAUCGCGAAUCUGCAUUCGCGUAAUAAUUGACUUU